GCCUUUUUUGUUUCAAAUGCAUCAAUCAAUUUACAUUGAAACAAGGAUAUAUAAGCACACAUUCUACUGGGUCUCAUCCAUUCCAAUCCGAUAUCCUCAUAUCAAAUUCAGCUCUGUGUGAAGAUGUUUGAACGUUUGGAAAAUAUAUCUAUGCCCAAUCGUAAGCUGCUCUCGUUGUUGUGCAUCGUCAUCAUCAUGGGAUGCAUGGGUCACGUGAUACCGCCCAAUUAUGGUCAAUCCGAGAAGAAAAAUAACUAAAACUUAUAAAUCAGUGCAACAUAAAAUAGCGUCAGUAAUGAUAUUUCAAUCAAGUAACAGUGAUAAACGACAUUGAACCGGUAAUACUUCCAUUUGAUUUGUAGAGAAGCAAACUGUAUCCUUUAUUAUUUGUAACAAAUGAUUCAAUAUCUUUUUCAAUCUGUAGCAAAGAAUACAGUAUCCUCUUCUAUAAAUCAGAUGAAAUUAUUACAGGUUGAACACAGUUUGUCACUACUACUGACUAGCCGAAUUACUGAAAUCACAUUUAAAGAAAUCUAUUGUAUUUGUUUGAGAGAAACUGUACAUUUAUUUUGUUCUAUGAUUCAUAUCAUGAAAUAAAGUCAGUGUAUUGAUGAAUUUUA